UUGAAAGGGAAACGAUUGAAGUCAGUCGUACCGACGAGAAAUCAGCUUAUCGUGUGUUAACUUGUGAGCGUGCGUGAGUUUCGGCCUCGCUGUUUGCAUGUUUGUGCGCUUUGGGUGUACUUUUUCGUAUGGUUGGCCAACAUCAGUUUCGAUUACUAUAAAAUGACUGGCGGAAUGUAGCUUCGAUUUCGGUUGAAGUGUUAUAGCCUCUGGUAGAUGUGGUGAUUGAGACUGAGGAUUGCAACGAAUAUCCUUUGGGCUAUCCGUCUGGCCUCUGAAAGUUGCUUGGGUGCUGAAAGCUUGCUUAUGGUUAUCUAAGUUAACGGUCAGUAGGUUAGAACGCGAUUACAUUCGUUAAGGAUGUUGACGUA
rnacentral:rRNA from 1 species